CGACUUCCCCCAGCGACGUCGAAACUCGCGCGGCAUGUGAUUGCGAAUAAAAUUCUCCUACAAAAUUUCAAUCAGCUUUAAAAAAUUAUUUAGUAAGAAAAAUAAGGUACAUGAAGCUGGUUUUCAGGGAAUCCUGGUUUAGUGAGCAUUUCUAUAUAAAGCAAAUUUCCGGCGACUCACUUGAAAUCCUUUAUAUUUGAUGAGUUCCUUGAGCCUGUCGACGAUGUAGAAGAAGCCAUCGCGGUCGUAGUAACCGAUGUCGCCGGUGCGCACGAAGCCGUCGGCGUCCAACAGCGCGGCGCCGGCGGCCGCGUCGCCCAGGUAGCCCUUCAUGCGCAGCGGAGACUUGAUCCACAGCUCGCCCUCCUGGUGGGGGCCCAGUUUCUGCCCGGUCUCUAUGUCAAUUACCUGUGACGAUCGUUCCAUUCAUUGAAGAUUUUUCUCUUUGAUAAAGAGGUGCCGCGCCGCACCACACUUCGUGCAGUGACGACAGGUCAUACUUCUCCACGAGCGGAUCUUUGGCAAGGAAUACUGCUAAUGGUGGGACUAUAGUUGUCAUGUUUAUCUGAAAUCCAUGAUACAAUCAGUGAAAAAACAAUAGUCCUUUUCUUUAAAUUAUACAGCCAUGGCAACAACUUGCGUUGUCAAAUCUGGCUGACGUAGGUAUCUUGUAAUACAAGAUUUCAUAUAUGUUCUGAGAAUAAAACCUUGAACUUAAUUCUCAACCCUUACAUGUUUGUUAGUGAAACAAUGUCUUAGAAUGUUCUUCAGUUUUUCUCGAGUUUUAAAUUUACAAUCAAAAGAUUCAAUUACAUAUUUUAUUACAUAAUUGGUAGAUUCAAUUAAAUUAUUUUAAUAUAUGUGUGUUAUAAUUAUUAUAUGUAAUAAAUACCUUAUAAUUUUGUAUGGUUUCCAAAAACUGUUCAGGUUCGAAGCGAACCAGAAACACUAUCCUGAUCCGCAUUGCCAGCACCGCCAUUGUUGUGAUGAAGCCGUAAGCAUGAAACCAGGGAAUCAGAGACAGGCCGUUCAAGAUAUCCUUAUUUAUGUUUGAUUUUUUGUUGAGCUGAGAGUGAUGAAAGUAGUACCUGUAAAAAUAUUAUGAUUUCAGAUUUCAAUU